UUUGAAAAUUUCUUGAUUACGUUGGAUUUCUUUGAGCCUAUUUUUCAAUGAGUUGAUUUCUGUUCCUAUACCAUAAAGAGUGGCUUGUUUGGUGUAAGUGCUUAAAUACUUCCCAAACCAACCUUUUAACCUCUUUGGAAUCCUUCCCUCUUCAACUUCAAGGAUGAAGUUGUCAAUAAUAUCCUCAGCAUCAUAAGCAACAUCUCUGAUAUCGGAUAUCCACUUUUGUAUUCGACGAUCUCCAUCCUGUGUUUUCUUCUGCAUCUUUCAAGAAACACACAUGUGCCAAUUUGUUUCUCAACCACUCAACUUCAUCUCUCACUCCUCGUCAAAAAACUAUCUUGUUUCGAUGAUAAGUUCUCCGAGUCGUUGGCAUCUACGAAGGAGACAACGGCAUCACCAUGUUUUGGUGGGCUUCUCGAUUCAAUUUCUUGCUCCUAACACUAAAUCAAGACUAGAUUAUUCAACUCUUACAAUAUAAUGCUCGCAAAAAUCUUUUAGAAGUAAAUGGUUGUGUAAAUAAGUUUUUACCUAUAUGAUAGUCCUUCCUAUUCGCUUGAUGAAAAAUUGAAGAAGUUACAACUCGCACCUAAAUUAUUCAGUCAAAAAUAAAAAUAGCGAACAUCAUAUAAAGAUUAAUGCCUAUGGCCAUGAAUAACUCUCAUAGUUUUAAACACCCUAACACAAAAGCACAUCUUCCUUGUAUGUUUGCAUUCUUUGUCCUAAUUUUUCCCUUUCUCUCUCCCUCUCUCGGUGAAAUGUAAUGGACUUUCAAUAAACUCCACUAAGUUUUGUAUCUACAAUAUACGCUAACUAAAUUUCUGAAUUAAAAUCAAUUAUUUUUUAAAUGAAUUCUUUUUUGGACAAAAUCCGAUUUACCACCAUAUGGUUUGAGAAAAUUAAAUGGUCCUGCCCUGUGAUUUCUGAAAUUACUCUACAAUUAUUACCCUUGUAAUAUGGUAAUAAAUAUUAUUUACUUAAUGAUUUUAAUUCAAUUAAAAAGAAAUUCAAACCAUAUAUAUAUAUAUAUAUAUACAUAUAUAUAUAUGUAUAAGUAGUGUUUUAUAAUUCAUUUUUUAAUUUAUAGAAGAGUAGUUAACAUUUAUUAUCAUACUUCAAGGUUACUGUGGUUAUUUUUUAAAAUUAGUUGUAGCAAAGAGUAAUUUAAGAAACUAUAGAGUAAUUUAACAAAUCUGAUAACUACUAAUUACAAUACAAGAAAGAGAUUACUUUAUAACCCGACUCCUAAGUACCACUAAAAAAAGAAAAUAAUCUAAUCAUGCCUUUAAGAAAAACUCUUACCUUCCAAUUGAAAUUGUGCGUUGUGGCCAAUUAAGUUUAACUUAGGCCUAGUUUAGAAUAACUCCUUUUCUUUUUGAAUAAUUUUUUUUUACCUUUGGUCAUUUUUUUUGUGGGGUUCUUGACAAGACGAAAACGAUUAUGUAUAAAUUUUGUUCAGAUUUAAGAAAAACUUAUUAAAAAUAAAAAAAAUUAGUUAAUUUGUUUAUAAUUUUUUUUCUAAAUUUGAUCAAAUUCUUAUAUUUUAAGUAUUGUUUUUUUAAGAAAAAACGAAAACUAUAAAUUUUUUGUCGAAAGAUAAAUAAAAAUCAUUACAAAAUUAAAAGAUUCGAAAAUUAAGCAAUUAAAUUAGUUAAAAAAACAAUUGGCCCAAACUGGGUCCAAUACCUUAUAUGUGUACCUGUCACUAUUGUAGAUAGAGAGAGAGAGGUAGGGAGAUACGUAUAGCAAAGUGAGAUAGAUGCCAAUUCAUUUCAGAAAAACAGCCAAAGGAAACGCCCUUUUCCCAUAGUUGGUUUCUCUUUCUGAAAGAAAGGCACUUUGCCUUGGGUGUCCGGUGGAGAGAAGAAAAAAACAGAGAGAAGUGGGUGUGGGUUGUUCAGGAAGAAGCAAAACGUUUAUAGGAGAGAGAAAUGUCAAUCCUGUGUAAAUUAUUAUGUGGUUCGCACCACAAAAAAUUAGGAUAAGGAUGAUGAUGUCAAUUGAUGGUAUCUAUGUGGUAUGAUAUUUAAGGUGUGAUUGUCAAAAUUAGAUGUGCGGUGCCAUGCCGGUCAGGUUAGGCGAAUUUAUUUUCGUAUUCUGUGACGUGUUUAUUUAUUAAAAAUCUAUACGUGUCUAAUCAUGUUCGUAUCUUGUUAUACCAUAAUUUUUUAUAUAUAUAAAUAAGUUUAAUGCUUCAAAUUAAAAACAAAAAUCAAUUAAACUUUUUCCUCUAUAACAUCAAUGAGUCGUGGCGUUUGUUUCCAAGAAGUAGUGGCCCAAUUAGACUUGACCAUCACCGUGCUCGUGCUAAACCGGUGCUUUAAAGUGCCUUGCCCGCAUGCUAGCCCCGCAUUUGUUUGACACAUCUAGUCACAACAUAACAUAUGGCAUCUUCUUUUUUUUCUUGAAUGUUUUGCUAAAGUGUUUAUCAUAUAACUUUAUUUUUGUUUUCUCUUUAUGAGCCUAACUUACUUUACAAAAAAAGUUGAGGAAAAUCAAUUUUUGAUAAGCUAUACUUUGAUAUUUUUUAACUUUUUUUUUUAAAUAGUUCAAUUUUCACAUAAGUCAACCACACUAAAACCUUCUAAUAUUGUAAAUGUUUCUUGUAAGUAAACCUUCUAAUAUUGUAAAUAUUUCUUGUAAAAGAACUUACGGUAAAAGUUAAUUUAUCAAAAGUGAAAAUCCAAAAAUAUUAAAAAUGAGCUUGUAAAUUAAAAUCACUCCUAAGAAUUUUUUGCUCAUAAACAAAAAAUAAAAAUUAUAAAGAACACCAUCAAAGCCGCAGGAUUUCCCAUCAAAGCCAUCACUUGUGUCUUGUGAUUUUUUCAAAUCUUCAAAUCAACAAUCUUCAAAAAUCACAAAUCAACAAACCCUCAAACCCCAUAUGUUAAUCUUCAACACCCAAGUCGCCAUUCCUUGUCACCGCUUGCAACUCGCUCGCCAUCGUCAGAAGAUUUUGCCUUCGGUCGUCGUUGCCUUCGGUCGUCGUCGCUAUAGUCUAUUGCCAUUCAAUUCUCCCCCGGUGCCAUCUGGAGACUCCGCGAUCUGUCUACUCAUCCUCGAUCUUUCCCCCAACCCCCCACCCCCUCACAUAACAAAAAGGAGAAACUUUACUACCGCAUACGAAUGUUUCCAGAGGGGCUCACUAGACCCAUCCCUAUACCAUACCCUUGUCAGCAGCAAAAAUGACCAUUCUAACCCUUGACCCCUCCAUCCCACCCCACCCACAACCUACGAAUGUCGCGAUUUUUUGUUUAGAUUUUUUUUAGUUUUAUUUUAAUCAUUUUUUGUUUAAGUCUAAUAUUUAUUUAUUUUAUCAUUUUUUUUUUUUUUGGAUAAUACUUUUUAUUACUUGUUUUGUUUUUCUUUUUUAGUUUUUUUUUAAUUAUUAAUUGAUUUUUAUAAAAAUAAAUAAAAAUAAAAUUCGCAAGUGUUCGGCAUGUAAGUACUCAACUUUUGAUACCAUACAUUGGCAUAUUUAUUUUGGAAAUUAAGAAUCUAAUGGCCAUGUUAGCCUAAUCCACUGGAGUAUCAAAGUGUUGAUAAAACAUCAAAAACAUAAAAAACUCAAAACUAAAAUACUUAAAUACGUAAUUGUUUAAAACAUAAGCCAACAUUGGCCUUUAAUUAAUGGGUUUUUAAGAAAUUUUAUAAUUUAUGCAUCAACUAAAAGUUUAGUAUAAUUUUUUUAAUAUAAUGAUCAGGCUAUUUGAACACUUAAAUUUGUGUUCUCUUUUUUAUGUUUAUUUAUUUUUUAUUAAAAAUUAAUUAUAAAAAAAACUAAAAAACACACAAUUAUAGUAAAAAAAAAUUAUUUAUCCAAAGAAAAAACUGAUCAAAAUAAUAAAUUUAGAUUAAAAAAGAAAUAAAAUAAUUAAAGAAAAAAAAUUAAAAAAACUAAAAAAUCUGGGGGGAUGGGGUGGGGUGGGGGGUGGGGGUCGGGGGUAUAAUGGGUCAUUUUUGCUCUGACAGGGGCAGGUCAUGCCAAUUUUAAACCACCGGAGGUCAGUGCUAUUAUGGAAACCUCAGGGGUGUAGGUAAAGUUAAUCCCCCCCCAAAAAAUGGAAGAAUUACACUAACCCCCCUGAGGUUUUCUUUAAUCCACAAGUACCCCUUCACUUGACUAUUAUAUAUGAACCCUCCCCUGAGUUUUGAAAAUUAUGCUGACAUACUUCUUGACAAACCACUUUCUCCCAUUCUUCUCCUAUAAAAAUACCCAAAUGGCCCCUUCUCUCUCCUUAUCCAUCCUCUCUCUCUCCUCUUUCUCUCUCUCUUUGCACCUUUAUAUUUUUAUUUUUUUUUAUUUUUAUUAUAAUUUUUUUAAUACUCUUUAAUCAUAUUUUUUAAUAAAAAAAACUCUUUUUUGUUACUUGUUCUUGUUUUUUUCCCUUUUUGUAUCCUUUUAUUUUUAUUUUUAUUUUAUAUUUUAUAUUAUUUUUUUUAUAAACCCGUUGAUACUUUAUUUAACAAAAAUGAAUCCCCUUUUUGUUAUUUUUGUUAUUUAUUUUCUUUAUGUCUCCUUCUAUUUUUAUUUUUAUUUUUAUUAUAUUUUUUCAUUAAUAACUUGAUUAUUUUUUAACAAAAAAUGAAUCACUUUUUGUUAUGUUUUGUUAUUUUUUUGUAUCCUUUAUUUUAUUUUUAUUUUUUUUUGUAUUAUUUUGUUUAAAUACCCUUUGACUCAUUUUUUUUUUAAUACCAAAUUGAUUUUUUUUCUCUUUCAAUACUUUUGUUUAUUUUUUAAAUGUUUACAAAUAGAUUUCCCCCAAACUAGUAUUACAAAAAAAUAAAUAAUCAAAGGGUAAUAAAGCAAAAUACAAAAUAAAAAAUAAUCAAAGGAUGUUUAAAAAAAUAAUAAUAAAAAUACAAAAAUAAAUAGAAGAGUAUAUAAAGAUAAAAAUACAAAAAUGGAUUCAUUUUUAUUAAAUAAAAUUAAUCAAGGGUUUUAAAAAAAAUAAUAAAAAUAAAAUAUAAAAUCAAAUACAAUGGUACCAAAAAAAUAAUAAAAAGAAACAAGAAAAAUUGUUUUUUAAUUAAAAAAUAUGAAUUAAAGGGUCAUUAAAAAAUUAUAAUAAAAUAAAAAAUAAAUGGGUGGAAAGAGAGAGAAGAGAGAAGGGGGGGAGAGAGAGGAUGGAUGAGAGAGAGAGGUGGGGACAUUUUUGUCAUUUCAUAGGAGACAAGGGAGAAAAUGUGUUAAGAGGUGUCAAGAUUAAUUUUCAAACUCAAUGAGUCACUUGUAAUUUAUCAAACAUCAGGGGAUUUGGUAUUAUGGUAAAACAAUAACUUACAACAAAAGACGAGAACAAUAUAAUUUUGUCUGGUUUAAAUAUUUUGUAAGAACCAUAAGUUUAUCAAAUAAUUUAGAAAUUGUGAUCCGAAUUUUGAACCUUGGAAUGAACAAUUUCUUGGCUGCUGUGUUGACGGCCAUGACAGAGACAGACAUAGAGUGAUCAAGAAGAGAGAUCUUACCCCAAGGGGGUUUUCCAGUGUUAGCUCGAUGGAAAGAAGAGGAUUUGCAGGGGGUUUUUCACGCAGUGCGGCUGGGGUUCCGACUCUUUCAUCAGCGUGAAGAUUCCUCCAUUACCUCUGGGUGGGUGUGAGCUUGUGAGGACCCAACUCAGCCCGAUUUGGGUCUAAUAUCUCUGGUGUUGCCAGCUGGGGGUGUUUGUUGGCUGUUCCGAGUCAUAAAAAAAAAAAAAAAAAAAAAAAGAGAUCUUUUCCUAAACAUUAUGAUUUAACCAUAUAAAGAUGGACCGGCGCGAAAAUUCUGUUAAGAAUCCCAACUGCCAUGGGUUAAAAUUGCCAAGUUAACACAUUGUGGAGUUCCAACCAGAAACACAGAACCAGCAAAAUAGGCCCAGCCCCAGCCCAAUACCCACAAGUUGUCCACAAAACUCCAACCUAGAACACACCCACUAGAAAACUUGGGCCAGAAUAAUUGUCAGCCCAAGGCCCAGCAUCAAAAUAAACCUCAAAAGAAAACACAGUUUGGGACACAAAAUAGCAAAAUAAGGAAUUGUCCAGCCCAAACUCACCAAAGUUUCAGCCCAAACACAAAACACAAAGAAUAAUUGCGCCACGUAGGCGAGCCCGUGAUAAUACCACGGGCUCGAACCCGUUAUAACAUUACUCGCAUUUUAAAUUUUUAAAAAUAUUUUUAUAUAUUUUUAAUAUUUUUAAAUAUUUUUUAUACAUUUUUAAUAUUUUCUAUACGCUAGCAACCCUUAAAAAAUAAUUUAUAGACCUUUCCUUUCAUUUAAAUAGGUCAGUUCAGCAUUUAUAUAAUUGGGGAGACCCAAUAUUUUAAGCCGAAACGCAACGACUGCUAUUGACUCCGAUUUCAACGUUGUUGAUUGCAUGGACCCAAUUGAUUUUAACUUUUUCACUUUUUUCCGUUUUUUAGAUUUUUAUAUAAAUAAGAAAAUUAUAUUUAAUAUUUUUAUAAUUAUAUCACAACUCAUUUUCCCUUUGCAUUGUGUUUGAUAUGCCCUUUAGUUUUUUUUAUCAAAUAAGAUAGUAGAGCUUGAUACAAUUAAAAAAAUGAGUCUAGCCGAUCAAGAUGCAAACCACGAAAGACACGAAUAGCUGACAUCCACGAGAAUAAACUUUACAAUAAAUUUCGUACAUGUUUUAAAAAAGCUUUAAUGUUCAUUAGCAAGUUCGACCAUACUAGAAUAAUUAUUUAAUGUUAAUCUGAGUUAAACAUUCUCAUUUUAAUUUUUUUAAUAAUACUUUGACGUUAAUUCGUAAGUUGGCACCACAAUAAUAAACAGAAUGAAUCUCAUUUGAUAUAUUUCAUAGAGAAUGUAUAUGAUUCACAUUUGUAAUUAAGUGAGAAUAUGGAGUACGAUAUUUGAAUAGGGAACCCUAUUUUGCGCGAAUUUAUAAAAUAGUUCAUAAAUGAGCCUCUUGGUGCCCAUGAACUACUACUUACUUUUGCUAAUUUUGUAAAUAUAUUUUAUAGGGCAAUUUAGUUUUACAUGAACUUUCACUUAGAAAGUUUUUCUUUCUAGUUUGAUAGUAACAUACCGAAUUGAAACCCACUAAUUGAGAUAAAAUUGUAUUUUUGUUGAAGGGAUAUGGGUACAAUCUAGUUGUGUACCCCAAAUACACACUAAUUUGAGGAUCAAAUUGUAUUUUUGAAAGGGUAAACUGGCUUAUGGGUACAAUUAGUGGGGUUAUCCCAAUAUGACCCCCAAUGAGGUGUCGGAAACUUGUAGAUUGGCUGAGUGUGGGUGGUCCCCCCAGUCUUUUCAACAUUCAUCACCCCACACCCAGCCCACCCCAAUGCUACACCUCAUUGGAUGUGCAUUUGGGUACAACUUUAACAUUUCCCUUUUGGAAAUCAUAAAACUGAAUUUAGUCAAAUCACAUGUUACAAAGUUCAGUUAGCUUCGGUUACAAAGUUGCAAUAGUUUAGUCUAUUUUUAAAUUUUCUCAAAUUGUUAAAAAAAGUUUAGUUUUUAUUUUUUUUUUAAAUUGCACAAAUUCAAAAUGUGAACAUCUCUAUUUACUAAGGAUGAUAACGACCAAAACGUCGAGCUUUUGACUCAUGUUAAGUUCGUUAAAAAGUUUUUUAAGACAGAUUUGUUACUCAAACAAAUCAAGCUUAAACUAUUUUUUAAACUUGUUAAGCUUUCAAGCCAAAAAUGAAUAAUCUACUGACUAACUUGUCAAGCUUUCUAAACCACAACAAUUUAUUGGGCUUAUGAUUGACUUGAAACUUGUUUGAAAUCGAUUCAAUUGAUAAGCAAGUCAAAUUUAAUUACGGAAACUUGCUAAAUUUUUCUUUGUAUUUUAUCGAAAAUCAUAUUACAAGCUAUUAAAUAAAAUAGUAAUUUUUUAAUUUUAUAUAUCAAUAAAACAAGGUAUCUUGUACACGUCAUAUUGUGUCUCAGUUCCUUCACAAUUCAAAAGUUAAAGUGGCUUUUGAAUCUUGAUCGUUGAUCAUUUUUUUGUGGCCAAUAAACUGGGGCCUGGGGCAAGCCAUGUGGCUUAUUUUUUCCGACUUUUUCCUGCUUAACAUGUGAAUGUUUCAAGAGUAUUAAUAAACCACACUUGUAUCCCUUAUAGUUUUACCCAAAUUUCACUUAAGCUCUUAUACUUCCAAUUGAAGCAAAUAAGUUAGUAUUUCACUUUGUAUCAUGUUUUCAUGUAGUUCAAUUACUGAACUAGGUUUCAUAAAUUAAAUAGAGGAAGCACUGGAUGGAUCUAGAAUCCCCAAUGGAAAUUAAAAGAAGGUUUUUAGCAUAAAAGCGAGGCAAGAUUGUGCGUGUGUGUGAGAGAGAGAGAAAUGUAAAAUAUAUUUCUCAUAGACCAGUACUUACUAAUUUGUAAAUAUAUUUUUAUAAGCAGUUAGUUUGACAUGACUUUUCACACUGAUGAAAGUAGUUUUUCCUUUCUGAGUUGAUAUUAAUGUGCCGAAUUUAAACACACGGAUUGAGGAUAAUUGUAUUUUGAAAUCAAUAAAACUGAAAUGAGUCAAAUCCCAUGUUAUGGUUUCAGUCAGCUUCUGUUACAAGUUCCAUUCGUUUGGUUUAUUUUAAAUUUUUUCAAACUGUUUAGACUAGGUUAGUUUUUAUUUUUUAUUAAAAUCGCACAAAUUCAAAGUGAACCUUUUUUUUCUUAUUCCGCUUAGGGAAUGAUAAACGUACCAACUGUGUAACUUGGCUCGUGUUAGCUCGUCAAAAUGUGUUUGAAACUGAUUUAUACUUAAACAAAUCAAGUUGAAUUAUUUUUUAAACGUGUUAAGACUUUCAAACAUAAUUUUUUUAAAAACCUGAACAAUAUAUUAGGCUCGUGAUUAGCUCGAAACUCAUUUAAAAUCAUGUCCGCUUGAUAAAUAAGUUAAAUUUAAUCAUAUUUUUAAAAAUCGAUAAAUUUUUAAAUUAAACUUGAACAGCUUUACUCAAUUGUGUUUGACUCAUUGGGCUUGUUUACCAAUCUUAUAUCGAUUACUCACCUCCCCAAAGUAGUGAUACCAUAUAAACUUUAAUCUUUACCACAAAAGUCAAGUGAUAACACUUUUUGUCAAAUUUAUCUUCAUUUUAAAGUUUUUUAGAAUAUCUAUUAUUUAUUUAUUUUAAACUAGUGAUUAAUAAAGUUUAUCUAAACAAAUAAUUUCUUAUAUAAAAAUUAAUAUAUAUAUUUUUAAAAAUAUGUAUCUAAAGCAUAUCAUUUUAUUUUUCUAGAAAAAUUAUAUCUUAAAUUGAAAUCUGAUCAUUAUAAUUUUUUAAAAAAAAAUAAUUUCUUUUAUAAAGUAAUAUAUAUUUUCUAAAAAUUUCUCUAAUACAUACAGAUUAUCUCAAUUAAUUAUAAAUUUUAAAAAUUACUAGUUUGAUAUUCUCACUCUAAAAUUUACGUUUUUCACCUCAAUGUGUCUUAAGAAUAAGAUCAAACUUUCUUGAGAGAGUUAUAAGUUGUGUGAAAUUAGUAAAAAAAAUGAUCAAAAUUGUUUGAAAACAAAUAAAAAUUGUUCUAUGAAGUAUAAAAAAAUAAUUUUCUAGGUUUUAGUUUUUUACCAAAGCAACUUGAUUUUCUUAUGUGGAUUUUUAAUUUUCAUCAUCUACCGGUGGUAAUUUCAUAGAAUCAUCAUCCAUGGUCGCACAUGCAUUGGGUAUUCUUCCCCAAAAUCACCAUGGGGUAUCAUAAAAUUUUCGCGAUAGCUGGAGUACACACCGAUAUUAAUUUUUAUGGACACGUGGCAGAUUUUUAUGGCUGGUACUGGAAAUGGGUACAGACUAUGGGUACAGGUGAUCGUAAGCUUCUGCGCUUUAAUUUGUUGUGCGCUUUUAGUGCUUUAGCAAACAUAUUUUAAAUCAAUUUUCAAAAAGUUAUAUCUUAAUUCUUGGCUUUUAGAAUUUUGCUUUUAACAAAUUAGAACCGAUUGCUACCGGUUUUGGUUCUGGUUUUGGUUCUUACAAUUGAUCCGAUUCCUAAAUUUGUCAAGAACCGAUCUAAUUUGCAUCGUGUACACUCCUAUAAAUUUACAAUCGGUAAAAGAUGAGUGAGCCAAAAAUUAAAGAUCGCAUUUUAUCAAUCUUGAUAACAAGAUGGUUGGUCCUUGUAGUCUGACAACAGUUCAUUUUAUCUCUAUAGUUUUAGUUUAAGCAAUUAGGAUUGAAUUGUUUCAAUCGAUUUCAAUUUAUUCCCUACGUCAGUAUCCAGUAAGUAAAAAUUCACCUAACCGUUUUUAAUAACUAAAAUAAAACUUUAGGCAAACUGCAAGGACCAAUUAUAGUAAACUACCCUCUAAAUAUGGGAUGUAAGUUUUAUGUUCUCACUUUAUGUCCAAAUACUUAAUGAGUAUUGAAGCAAGAACCAUAUUAAAAUCAAAUUAAAAUUAUAAGAUUCUAAUUGUCUAAAUUAAAACUAUAAGAACUAAAAUAAAACUUUGAUCAAAAUAUAAUUACAAUUAUAUAUGGCUUUGUUUAUUUUAUCUAUGAGUCCCUCUAUAUAAUAGUGAAUUUGGACAGUCAAUCUUUGUAUUCGUUUGUUUAAAUGAAUGAAAUACAUACACAUAUCUUUAUUAUUUUUCAGAUUUUAUAGGCAUGCAAACCCACAUUUUUUGCAACUAGAAAUUUAAAUUUGUAAUCCUUCUUUCUCUCUCCCCUCUACUUUCCCACCAUCCAACCCUCUCACUAAAUUUAUAACAUGAGUUUUUUAUGUACUAAAUGCAUAAAGUAUGACUGUUUCUAUUUUAUGAUUACUUUAUGUUGGCAUAAAUAGUGUGAAAAAUGAUUAUAUUAGACGAAUUCACUAUAAAAUCUUGAAAGCAUUACAGUUUUUAUUUAUAUUGAGAUCUUUUAUUGAGGAAAAUAAAAAUAAAAAUUUGAAGUUUGAGAUAUUGGAGCAAACUAACCCUCACAAAAGAUGGUUGUGCAAACCAUAGAUCAUUGUUUGUGUAACACCUUUGGCGGUGUAGAUAUGUAAGAACUAUAAAACAAUAGAGAUUGGAGAAAAAGAGACGAUUGAUUAAAAACCAUCUAACACAAGUCCCCUCUCACAUCUUCUAUCACAAAGAGAAAGAACAUUGGAGGGCUUUUUUGCUAAAGAUACUUGUUGUAGUAAAAGACUGCUAAAACAAUUUAGCGUUUCCGUGGAGAGAAUGAGAGAUUUUAUCAAGAGCGGGCAAUGAAAAUUUUUUUAAGUUCAAUUGAAAUGAUGCCGAGUUUGAUGUAACAAGCAGAGUACAUCCGGAGAAUGCAAAUUAAAAGUCUUGAAAAUGUUUUGUGCCAAAGAUACAGAAGCCAAUUGUGUACUCAAUUACUUGAUACAAUUGUUUUUUUUCGAAUUCUGGAUUGCCUAUAGAUAUUGUUGACAUAAUACCCGUUACUGUUGCACAAAUCCGGUGAAGAAGUUUUCAAAAAGUGAAAUUGGCUUUAAAACUUAGCUUCGGUCAACCAUGUCUCAAGAAAAAUUAAAUGAUUGACUAUAUUUAUCCAUUAAUACAAAGUGAACACCGCUUGAUUAUGAAGAUUAAUUAGUAACAUUUGCAGCAAAAGUGCGAGAAGAGUAGUUCACAUGAUUAAUUUCGGAAUAUUGUAAUGGUUGUUUUUUUUGGAUGACAUGUUGUUUAAAUUUUGCAUGAGAAAUAUUUUGUUAUGGUUUUUUUAUAAGAUUUGUGGUUGAAAAAUUUAUUAUGCAAAAUAUUUGGAGGACCUUUCCAAAUAAUGUUUGGAGUUAUAUAAUAUUAAACACGUCUUUUGACAUGUUUGGAGUUAUAUAAUAUUAAAAUUUUAGGAAGAUGGGGCGAGUUGGGAAGUGGCAAUCAAUGCAUAACAUUUGAAAUAAUAGGGUGCAAAAUGGAAAAAAUUAUGCAAGUAAUCGAAGUUUCUGUCCCAAAACCAGAUCCACGCAUUGAGAAGAGAGUGAGAGUUGAGCUUAGUGGGUGAACCUUAACUGAAUUUUAGUUGUGUCAAAUGAGAUUUUGUUUUUUAAAGUGUUUGAUAUUUUUUUUAACUUGAAAUGAGUCACAGGAAUUUUUUUUUUUGUUGUUUAUUGUCGGUUUGUGACGUUUAUAUUCUCACAUGUGAACUGAUGGUUUAUUGGAGUUUAUCAUGUUUCUGAUCUGUUUUUUUGUGCUAGUUGAUCAUUUAAUUUUGCAUUUCAUUAAGCAUAGCAUUGAAUCCAUGCUGCAAAUGUCUUUCAUAUUUGAUUUAUGUUUAUUAUGACAAUCUGAGGUCCUUUGUUGGUGAUAUACUGGCAUGGCUCUGCAAAUAUUCUAUUGAGUGUUUUUGUUUUUACACCCUUGUGUCAGGCUCCUCCCGAGGAUGUCGAGGACCUCUAAAAAUGAAAAGAGCGAGGAGGCAAUGCCUGCAAGGAUGUAGAGUACAAACAUGAAGGAUGAAAGGAGUGUGAAGGUAAGGUACUGAUUAUUGAGGAGAAUGAAGUUAAACUAAGUGAACUUAAGUAAAGCUAAGACCAGGGUCCAGUUUUCUCAUGUUUCUGUUUGGGUUCUAUCCAAAUCAACUCGGAUUGACCAAAACUGACCGAACUGAAUG
rnacentral:lncRNA from 1 species